UACGGGGGGAGCAAGCGUUGUUCGGAUUUACUGGGCGUAAAGGGCGCGUAGGCGGCCAGCACAAGUCAGUUGUGAAAUCUCCGAGCUUAACUCGGAAAGGUCAACUGAUACUGUGCGGCUAGAGUGCGGAAGGGGCAACUGGAAUUCUUGGUGUAGCGGUGAAAUGCGUAGAUAUCAAGAGGAACACCUGCGGCGAAGGCGGGUUGCUGGGCCGACACUGACGUUCAGGCACGAAAGCGUGGGGAGCAAACAGG
rnacentral:rRNA from 1 species